UUUGCUUUCAAGGGGUUGUUGAGAUCCCUUUUGGAUUCUUUGUUGGAGAUUAGGGUGGGAAAUAAGCAGGACUGCUGAGGAGUCUCGGCUGUCACUUUGGAAUAUGAAAACAGUCUGGCUUCAAGUAAACCCAGUUUGAGAUUCACGCUCCCUCCUCCCUGCGCUCCUCAGCCGUCUCCCAUAAUCACUGGUCCUGGAUGGGAAUUUGUGGGAGCUGGUUGGGCCCAAACUGCGAUUUCUCAUCCAAUGCAAUGGAAAAGCCAAAAUGAGAAGAGUAAAGUUUAAAUCAGACAAAUUGCACAAAGGUCCACGAAAAGCCACAAGGAGACCACGUGCCUUUCCGAAGUUUCCGUUGAUUAGGAAAGACCAAGAGACGGAUUACUGUUCCCUUGCCAAAUGGAGAGGGUGCUCGAGCUCCUGAGGCUUGCUGUGGGAUUGGACAUUAUUCAGCCUGGUGCUAAUAGUCCUUAGUUACUCCUCACGCGCUCACAAAAGCCACACGCGUUUGUGUCGGUAACUAAGGCCUACAGAAACCACUCAGCCCUAAAUGCACACAGGAGAACCGUCGCGUUGGAGUAAAAGCUUGCUGCUGAGAACCAGCCCUGGGCCUAGAGGAAGAGCUGGCCAAAGCAAGGUGGCGUGGAGGAGGGGCAGAAUGAGCCAUGGACCACUCACUUCUCUCAAAGAUGACCUGGAUCAGCCAGUCCAUCUCAUCUGGUCCGUGUAUCAAAGACCUGAGUCAGGGGGCCUCAAGGAAGCCUUUUAGGAGAUUAUCAUAAGGAGAUAAUCAGAGAACCGCACAAAGAUUUUCAAACUCCUGAUUUUAACUGGACACAGGGCCACUCAGCUGGAGACCUCAUUUCUCAGCCUCCCUGGCUUCUGAGUAUGACCAGGCAGCUGAGCUCUGGACAACGGGAUGUGACCAGGAGUGACAUGUGCCAUUUCCAGAUUGUUGCCUAAGGAUUCGUGAAGGAAAGUGCCCUUUGCCCACUCUCUUUCCCAAAGGUUGACUUGCAGUUGUGAUGAUGGGAGCUGGAAGAUACUCCUGGGACCCAGAGACUGUUGAGGAAGCAGGCGUCAUCUAUGUUGAUGAAACUCCUGCCAAGGGUGAACUAGGUGAACCAGGGAGGCUCAAGUGACCCAGGAGCUGCUGUAUAUUCAAGGGACACUCAUUGGAAGGUCACUGAUCAGGUGCUCAGGUGGGCAAAUUGGAAACGUCACACACUCAGUCAGUCGCAAUGUCAUGCCGCGCCAAAUCUUCAUACUCCUAGCCUGGCACCAUAUUGCUUAGAUUAGCUGUGGCAUUGUGGGCACUACAAGUGUCAUGAGAAGCUAAAGGAAGAAGGACUAUCACAGGAGUGUAGGUUGGUACACAUAAAGUGUGAAUCAACUCGGGCUAUUGAUUUUGGGUCGUUUCUCCUUCGGGUGAUGUCUACUGAUUCUAGGUUCUAUUUCCCUUCUUUUAUGGGUUGAAUUGUGACCCUCCUCCCCACCCCCAUUCUUAUGUUGAAAUCCUCACCCUCAUUACCUCACAAUGUGACCUGACUCUGCAAAAGGGUCUUUGCAGCUAUAGCGAAGUUAAGAUGAGGUCAUUAGGGCUGGCUCUAAUCCAACAUGACUGGUGUCCUUAUAAGAAGACACAUAGACACAUACAGAGAAGAUGGCCAUGUGACAACGGAGGCAGAGAUUGAAGUGCUGUAGCUGCAAGCCAAGGAUCGCCCAAGAUUAUCAGCAAAUCACCAGAAGCUAGGAAGAGGCAAGGAAGGAUUCCCUCACCUGAGCCAUCAGAGAGCAUGGCCCUGCUGCCAUCUUGGUUUCAGACCUGCAUCCUCAAGAACUGUGAGAGAACAAAUUUCUGUGGUUUUAAGCCACCCAGGUGGUACGUUGUCAUGGCAGCCCUAGGAGGCAAACACACUCUUUCUGGGCAGCCUGCCUCUGCAGAAAUGGCCGAAGCAGGCAGAGCUGUCCAAGCAGCAGGCAUCUAUAGGGUUCUGUCCCCUUACACAGGGCUCUGGGAAUGAGCAGCUGGCCAGGCUGGAGCCCUAACUUAUAGAGUUUCCUUUAGCAUUAAAGCCAGAACGGACCAGGCAAGAAAAAUGGAAAGAUUUACUACUUAAUACUGACUCCUACCAGGGCUAUGGGGGAAAGAAACAAAUCAGCGGUACCUGGAAGACCUUCCUGGGAGGCUAAGCCCAAGCCCAUGUGUCAUUCUCCAUGUUCCGUUCUACAGUAUCAUUCUUUUUCUGGGACAAAACCCUUCCCAAAUUCGUACUCAGACUUCCUGAUCAGGCAGAGCUAACUAGACAAACGUGAACAUCAGCGCCAAUAAAAU
ensembl:lncRNA